UACAGAGGGGGCAAGCGUUGUUCGGAAUUACUGGGCGUAAAGGGCGCGUAGGCGGCCUUCUAAGUCGAACGUGAAAUCCCCUGGGCUCAACCCAGGAACUGCGUCCGAUACUGGAAGGCUUGAAUCCGGGAGAGGGAUGCGGAAUUCCAGGUGUAGCGGUGAAAUGCGUAGAUAUCUGGAGGAACACCGGUGGCGAAGGCGGCUUCUGGACAGAUACCGACGCUGAGGCACGAAAGCUAGGGGAGCAAACAGG
rnacentral:rRNA from 1 species